UACGUAGGGGGCUAGCGUUGUCCGGAAUCAUUGGGCGUAAAGCGCGUGUAGGCGGUCCGGUAAGUCCGCUGUGAAAGUCGGGGGCUCAACCCUCGAAUGCCGGUGGAUACUGUCGGGCUAGAGUGCGGAAGAGGCGAGUGGAAUUCCUGGUGUGGCGGUGAAAUGCGCAGAUAUCAGGAGGAACACCAAUUGCGAAGGCAGCUCGCUGGGACGUAACUGACGCUGAGACGCGAAAGCGUGGGGAGCAAACAGG
rnacentral:rRNA from 1 species